AGCAGUCUGUUGUGGAUGGUUGCUGAGCUGCGCAUUCGGCAUUGGGCUUGCUUUGUUUCCUGCCAGGCCCAGCAUUUUCUUCUACCAGAUCGGCAGGCUUGUGGGCUUCUUCCUAGGUCCCUCCCCUGCACUCUGAAUAGGAAAGCUGGAAGCUGUGCUUUAGAGAAGCUUUAAGACGCCGAAAGAAACCAGAAGAGUGAGCGCCAGUUGUAUAAAGCAUUUUGACUUGUUGAUGUCAAUUUGGAACAGCUGAAAAAAUACAGGAAAAUAAGAUAAAUACGUACAUGUUGAGGGUGGGGACAAAAUGAAGGUUCUGAACCAGCUGCCGGCUUACAGUAGCCAUAUAAGCAACAGCAGCAAUGCACCAACCUGGUGGCAUGGAAUAUUCACAUGGGAGAGCCGCAUGAGGCCGCCCACCACGCUUCCUGAAGGAUGCCCGUGUGGAAGAAUUUUGACGUGCCAGUGUCCUCGUUCUACAGGGUGUUCCAUUCUUCCGCAAUCUCAGAAAAAUGGGACUAAAAGAAACUAUUUUGUAAAAUAAGAAGACUUCCAUUUUUAAUGACCAACAUGUAUUAAGAUGGACACCUACUCUACGAAACACGAAGUUCUAUGGUCUCGAAGAAGCCCGUGCCUGUUUAAAACUGAUCCUAACUAAAAACAGAC
rnacentral:lncRNA from 1 species